rnacentral:rRNA from 1 species
UACGGGGGGAGCAAGCGUUGUUCGGAUUUACUGGGCGUAAAGGGCGCGUAGGCGGCCACCGCAAGUCGAUUGUGAAAUCUCCGGGCUUAACCCGGAAAGGUCAACCGAUACUGCGGGGCUAGAGUGCAGAAGGGGCAACUGGAAUUCUCGGUGUAGCGGUGAAAUGCGUAGAUAUCGAGAGGAACACCUGCGGCGAAGGCGGGUUGCUGGGCUGACACUGACUGAAGUGCGAAAGCUAGGGGAGCGAACGGG